UAGUGUCAAGCCCCCGGUGUUACAGUGUAGCCAGUCAGUGGGAGUUCCCUGGGGGGGCAGCAUGGGCACCCGCCCGCCGGGGGAUCUACAGUGACCUGGGGACACGCUCUGACCCCUGGGGCAGAUCGCUGGCCUGUCUACAUUUACCUUUAUUAAAAUGUGCCACUGGGGCGUGGAAAGACCCAACAAUACGGUGUCAGACUAUUCGGUGACAGCGUGAACUCAGCAUGCUGUCUGCGGAUACUUGGAUGUAUUGCUUUCUUGUCAUCCUGGAGCGCCAUACAGCCCCUUACCGAACAUCACAAGACACAGGAAGAGAAACUCCUCGUUCGUCUGUAAAGCAUCAG